UACGUAGGGGGCGAGCGUUGUCCGGAGUUACUGGGCGUAAAGGGCGCGCAGGCGGUCUGGCAAGUUUGGAGUGACAGUGCUCGGCUUAACUGAGCAAGGCCUUCGAAAACUGCUAGACUUGAGCACUCAAGAGGGACAUAGAAUUCCGGGUGGAGUGGUGAAAUGCGUAGAUAUCCGGAGGAAUACCAAAGGCGAAGGCAGUGUCCUGGGGAGUGUCUGACGCUCAGGCGCGAAAGCUAGGGGAGCGAACGAG
rnacentral:rRNA from 1 species